rnacentral:rRNA from 1 species
AUGAACGCUGGCGGCGUGCCUAAUACAUGCAAGUCGAGCGAACAGACGCGGAGCUUGCUCCUCUGACGUUAGCGGCGGACGGGUGAGUAACACGUGGAUAACCUACCUAUAAGACUGGGAUAACUUCGGGAAACCGGAGCUAAUACCGGAUAAUAUAUUGAACCGCAUGGUUCCAUAGUGAAAGACGGUUUUGCUGUCACUUAUAGAUGGAUCCGCGCCGCAUUAGCUAGUUGGUAAGGUAACGGCUUACCAAGGCCACGAUGCGUAGCCGACCUGAGAGGGUGAUCGGCCACACUGGAACUGAGACACGGUCCAGACUCCUACGGGAGGCAGCAGUAGGGAAUCUUCCGCAAUGGGCGAAAGCCUGACGGAGCAACGCCGCGUGAGUGAUGAAGGUCUUCGGAUCGUAAAACUCUGUUAUUAGGGAAGAACAAAUGUGUAAGUAACUAUGCACGUCUUGACGGUACCUAAUCAGAAAGCCGCGGCUAACUACGUG